rnacentral:rRNA from 1 species
UACGGAGGGUGCAAGCGUUAUCCGGAUUCACUGGGGUUAAAGGGUGCGUAGGUGGGCAGGUAAGUCAGUGGUGAAAUCUCCGGGCUUAACCCGGAAACUGCCAUUGAUACUAUCUGUCUUGAAUAUCCUGGAGGUGAGCGGAAUAUGUCAUGUAGCGGUGAAAUGCUUAGAUAUGACAUAGAACACCCAUUGCGAAGGCAGCUCACUACGGGAUGAUUGACACUGAGGCACGAAAGCGUGGGGAUCAAACAGG